rnacentral:rRNA from 1 species
GAUGAACGCUGGCGGCGUGCCUAAUACAUGCAAGUCGAGCGAACAGACGAGGAGCUUGCUCCUCUGACGUUAGCGGCGGACGGGUGAGUAACACGUGGAUAACCUACCUAUAAGACUGGGAUAACUUCGGGAAACCGGAGCUAAUACCGGAUAAUAUAUUGAACCGCAUGGUUCAAUAGUGAAAGACGGUUUUGCCGUCACUUAUAGAUGGAUCCGCGCCGCAUCAGCUAGUUGGUAGGGUAACGGCUUACCAAGGCAACGACGGGUAGGCGACCUGAGAGUGUGAGCGGCAACAGUGGGACUGAGCUACGGCCCAGACUGCUACGGGAGGCAGCAGUGGGGAAUAUUGCACAAUGGGCGGAAGCCUGAUGAAGCAACGCCGCGUGCGUGAGGACGGCCGUCGGGUGGUAAACCGCUUUCGCCGGGGACGAAGCGGGAGUGACGGUAAUGGGUAAAGAAGCACCGGCUAACUACGUG